UUUCCUGUCUGUUGAACACACCAAGGGUACUCCUAUUUCCCGAGGGUACUCCUGCCUCUGGGCCUUUGCACUUGCUUUCCCCUCCAUCUGGAACACUCUUUUCCUAGAUAACUGCAUUGGUCACUCCCUCACCUCCUACAAGUCUCUGCUCAGCUGUUACCCUAUCAAUGAGGCCUUCCCUGAGCAGUCUUUUUUUUUUUUGGCUGCGUUUGGUCUUCAUUGCUGCACAUGGGCUUUCUCUAGUUGUGGCGAGCAGGGGCUACCCUUUGUUGCAGUGCGUGGGCUUCUCAUUGCGGUGGCUUCUCUUGUUGCAGAGCAUGGGCUCUAGGCAUGCGGGCUUCAGUAGUUGUGGCACACGGGCUUAGCUGUUCCGCAGCAUGUGGGAUCUUCCUGGACCAGGGCUCGAACCCGUGUCCCCUGCAUUGGCAAGCGGAUUCUUAACUACUGCGCCACCAGGGAAGCCCUGAGCAGUCAUUUUAAAAGAGCCUAUCUCUCUACCUGGCACCCUCAUCCCUAUUUUUCUGCUUCAUUUUCAACAUAUAUUUUACUUAUUUAUUGUCUAUCUCUUCCCAACUAGAAUUCAAUACAUGAGGUAUUUUGGUCUGUUUUAUUCCUUGCUGUAACCUAUUAACUAAAACAGAAGCUGGCAUCAAAUUGGUGCUCAACAGAAAGUUGUUGAAAAGAUGAAUAUGGAAUGGAGCACAGAGUAGGGACACAGUGUACUGACUAGGGAGUGUUGGGAGUAGGGUCAGAAAAGGAGUUCUCAAGGUGAGAGAAACCUAACCUGAAUCUUAAGGAAUAAAUACUAAAUGUCCUUCAGAAAUAUCCCUGUGUCCCGAUGAAAAGAUCAGUGACUACCAAAGUGGUGAUGCUGUGAGCCAGCACUGCACGGCGGAGAGGAUCUGGGAGAGCAGAACGGGCUCCAGGAAGCUGACCGGUAGCUCUCAGGAGGGAUCUUCUUUCAGGCUGUAUAGGCAGCAUUACCUGGCAACGCUCCAAUACAGCGGAGAAUUUCUGGAAGAACCUAAGGAUUUCUGAAGUUCUAAGGAGAAUGUCAGAGUAAGUAAAAAAUUCUAGAAUCUGUUGAUGAUAUUUGAGGAUGGGCCAGAGUGUGAAAGAGAAAGUAAGGAGCCUUGCUCUCCAUUAGUAAUUGCUCAGAUUUUUUAGGACAAGCAUGCCCUCAGGCCCAUCGAAGUAUGGAUUCUCUACAAAGAAAUAUCCCCAUCUGAGUUCCAGUUUCAGAGGCUCCUAGGAUCUUCUGAAUUCAGAUGUCUGAAGGUUCUGGUUACUUAAUUUGCUGAUUAGCAGGAAUUCAUUCUCUCACCACCCAUUCACAUCUAAUCAUAGCCUGAAUAUAUGUAAACUCCAAAUAUAUGGAUGAAAAGUGAGAUACUCAAGCAAACAUUUUAUGGAAGUUUCCCAAACAGAGAUGCUGACAUCACGCCCUCAUCUUAAAGACAUCAGCUAUCAGAGUCACAAAGCCUGCGUGGAGUUUUCAACGAAUGGGAGGUGAAAUUUUCUUUGGAAAAACUGUGGCAGCGUGGAUUGCUUCUUUUUCAGAUGUCAAAAACUUGGGGAAAAUAAAAUAGGGAAAAGCUCUGAAUGAUUACUUCUUCACAUAGCCUGUAUGUAUAGUGUGUACAUACACACACACCCCACAACUACUAUGUGCACAUUUACAUGGAAUGUGUGAAAUGUUUUAUUUUUCGUUUGUAACAAAAUAUAUCUUUCUAUUUUUUCACAUUUAAGGAAAAAAGAUCCUAAAGAUUUUACUUUUUCUUAAAAUAUCCCUAUUUCUAUACCACAUUGUUUUGAAAAUGGUAAUGACAAUUCUGAGUAAUAAAAUGCAUUAAAUCUCUUCUUACUGUAAUCAAUAUUUCUGUUCACUGAGGCUAUACAAGUAACUUUAAAAUACUUCUGCAGGGAUAGCCAAUGUUUCUACAUUCGCAGUAAACACUUGGUGAGUGAAAUCAUUUUUUAAACCUUAUCAGAGUAGGUCAAACAAAUACCACUGUUUCUUUUUUCCAGCACUCUACAGAAAUUCUUGAGUCGCAUGUAAACAGGGUCCAACCAAUAUGGUAUUUGCAGUAGAGUACCGUCAGUCAUUAAAAGCUAACAAACCUUGCAAAGCAGGAAUGCAGCAAUAGAAAUCCAUUGUGCACUAACAAUAGGCCCCUGAACCUCCCAGCACCAAAAGCAGACCAUUUUACUUUUAAGGCUAUUGUCUGCAAAGUCCAUGACAAAGCUUUUCCCCUGCAGCUAGACAAAAUAUUCACUGUAGUGUGCUCAUAAAGAAACAGAAGUCUUCUGUCUAAGUUGCAGAGUUAAAGAAACAGCCGCCAGAUUUCUGAAACCUGCACAACAUUCCUGGCCUCUUUAUUAACUUGCAUAAAGAUAGGAGGCUCUCAU